UUCCCGUUAGUCAAGUGGUUAUGAUAUUCGGCUUUCACCCGAAAGGCCCGGGUUCAAUUCCCGGACGGGAAA